UACAUUGAAGGAUUUUUUCUAAACCACCCUUUGGGGUCUAUAUUUGAGGUUUUAUGUGGAAUGUUCCUUUUAACCAGCCCCUCAGGUCUCUUUGAGGAUUUUGGAUGGAAUACUCGGUUAAACCAACAUUUUAGGUGAAUGUCCAAGGAUUUUUGGUGGAAUGUUCCUUUAAGGUGGAUGUUUGAGGACCUUGUAGGUGGAAUACUUCCUGAAACCAACCUUUUAGGUCAACAUUCAAAGAUUUAACGUGGUUUAAACCAACCUAUAUUUCAUGUUUUGAUCAUUAUCAAGUGAGAAACCUCAAUCCAGACUCCUCAUAAUGACAUUUGAGAUUUAUGCUGCUGUUACUUGUUUAGUCCAGACUAAAUGACAGAAAUCCACAACUGUAAUUUUAUUUCAGGACUCCGUUAUUAAAUGUCAAAACAAUCCAUGUGACUCUAAAAACUCAACAGCUUUACAAACUCUAAGAUUAAACUCUCCACAAGGAUCCAAAAUAAGUUUACUUCUACAUGAGAGCUUUAAUUAUUCUUCAUCUACUUCCUGAAAAGUUUGGUCUAUAAAAAAGACAAAAACUAAUAUUUUCAGCUGAACUAAAGACAGACUUUGUGAUUUUUCUGCUCACAUGUUGUGUUGUUGUAAACUUCCUCUUUCAAAUAAAUAGCCUCCUAACCCCAUGGAAACCAGCGUUUGUCCUGUUUUUGUGUUGCUCCUCUGCGACCCUAGACAGCCGGGUCCUAAUGUUUUUGGAGCAACACACCAUACUAUGAUGUUUUUACAAUGAUGGUUCUACUAUGGAACCAGUUUGACAUGUUCAGGUGUUCUUUGUUUGAAAACUCAGAGAUUUCAGGUAUCAGAAGGUGGUUUUCAACUUUCUUUGUUAACUUUCUGCUUCAACUUUGAACUAAAUUUCCUUGACUAACCCAGUCCUCUGGACUUCCAGUAAGCUGUGUUCCUAUUGGCUGUCCAGGUGGCUGUGUUCCUAUUGGCUGUCCAGGAAGCUGUGUUCCUAUUGGCUGUCCAGGUAGCUGCUUGGUGUUUUCAGGAACACCUGAGCAGCUCAGUGUCUUCCUGCUUUAUUUAGCUGCAGACAAACAUUUCCUCUGCUUCUGUUCACCAGUGAACCGGGUUUGGCUCCAUUGCUUCAGUUUGUUCUUUAGGCGUUGGCUUGCAGCUUCCAGCAGUAAAAUCGUCUUUAAUGUGUUUCUUGGUGUGUUUUAGGGCUUUGUACUGGAUAGUUGUCUUGGUAAAUGUGGUUCUUUAGCCACAGUUAGCACAUGGUGCUAAUGUGUGCAGUGAUUAGUGGAUUUGCUGCAGCUGAGUUGUGUCUUUAUCUUGGCUGUAGUGAGUCUUUAGAGGUUUUUGGUCAGACACAUUCUGUAUUCUUGUUUGAGAACCAACGUUGGUUGUCCAGAAGGUAAGAGUUCCUGUCCUGAUUCUCUGUUCUCAGAGGUUCUCUGGUAGGCUGCAGGAGACUUUAGUGUUUGGGUUUUGCUAGUUUGGUUUUUGUACAGUUUCAUUUGGACGACUAUCUUGAGGCCCCUCCAUGUGGUUUAGUGAGGUUUUCUGGAACAGUUCUACAAAGCAACCUGCAGCAGAAGAGACUUUGAGAGUUUUUAGGAAGUUCUGGAGACCAGACUUUAG
ensembl:lncRNA